rnacentral:rRNA from 1 species
GAUCCUGGCUCAGGAUGAACGCUGGCGGCGUGCUUAACACAUGCAAGUCGAACGGAGUUUGUGCGGAAGGAGUCUUCGGACAACGGAAGUAUAAACUUAGUGGCGGACGGGUGAGUAACGCGUGGGUAACCUGCCUUAUACAAGGGGAUAACAGAGGGAAACUUCUGCUAAUACCGUAUAAAAAUAUUUCACGCAUGUGAGAUAUUUGAAAGAUUUAUCAGUAUAAGAUGGACCCGCGUCUGAUUAGGUAGUUGGUG